GGCCGAACCCCUCUCCCGAUCUCCUGCAGGUGCAGAUUCCAGGUUUCCAGUGGGUGUCAGUGUGGGCUCCAGAGCUCUCCUGGUCCUAGGGAACCCUGGGCUCCAUGAGGCCUUCGCCUAGCCAGAUUGUUUCCCACACUGUCACCUCCCCACCCUGUCACCUCCCCAAACAUGGGGCUGCAUGCUCUGUGCCCUGGGUGGGACAUUGGAAGGAGUGCCACCUUCCAGGUUUGGAUCACAGUAAAGCCUCUGCCAUGGGGAUGUGCUGGCCGAGACAGAUGGGGUUGAACCAGUCAUGAUAUGUUGGCCUUGGGCAAGUCAUCUGUGCCUUGCUUCCCUUUCCCCAGCAGCCAGAAGGGAUAAUAGCACCUAUUUCACCCAUACUCAAGUGUUCAUUUGUUAGCAGGAACUGAGUCCCGGAGGAGGUGCAGGUGGAGCCAUUGAGGCAGCACUGCAGCUGGACCUGGGUCUGAGUCCCAGCUCCUGGCUGUGAUAUGCAUCACUCUCUCCAUUUAUUUAUCUGAAAGACAGGGCUGUGCUGUUCUGGGGUCACUGUGAGAAUGCAACUGGCCUGUGUGAGUUGGUGGUGGCCUCCUGUGAUAGCUUGAGGUGGGCUGGAGGUGUGUCUUGAAUGCCCCCUCACCCCCAUGGGGAAGACCCACUUAGGGAAGACUCAAGUGUCUGUAUGGAGGAACCCACAUUCCCUGCCCCUCAGCUGUCCUCUGUCCCUUCCUAGCCCCCUCUGCUGUCCUGCAGGCUCUGGCGGUGGCCAUCCAGCUUGGUGGCCAUCUGGCUGAUCCACUCCUCCAGGUGGACCCUCUGUCCUCAUGUGGUGCAGGUCCCAUUGUGCCACCUCCAGACAGGCCAUGCUAGCCCCAGGGCCUCCGUUCCCUGUUACCCAGCCCCCACCCCCAGGUACGUGCCACCUCCCUAAAGCCCACUGUGUCCACCAGCUGUGUUUCAACUCUGUCUCUGAGCAAGGCCUAACGCAAAGCCUGAAACAGCCUGGCUUGUAGAGGGCCAGGAGACCAAAGCUUGAAGAGAGAGUGACGGUCUCCCAGAGCCCACUUAGCCUCAGCCCCAGGGCUGUGUCCAUGCUGUUCCUGGCUCCAGUGAGCCAAUUCUCUCCCCUGACGCCCGUAAGGGCUCCAGUGGUGAUGGAGGUAGCUGGAGAGAACAAGGCUGUCUUAACCCUCCCUCCCUGAGAAGGCCCAACGGGGAACGUUUUAGGCAUCAGGGCAUUCUGGGGGGCAUCUUCCAGGGACCCCUCCUAUACCCUGCCCUGCCCUGGCUCUCUAGUGAGAAAUUGCAGUUGCUUGGACAGUGGGGCUGACCCAGGACAAAUGCAUAUAUUGGGCUGGUCUUCAGGGUGCUGGGGUAGGGGCAGGGGCACUUCAGGGAUAGGAAGGAGGGGCCUGUGUGUUCCAGAAGUACAGAGGAACCUGGUGCCGGCCGCCGUCAACCCCUAUGUGAUGAUCUUUCUACCCGCCCUCUUUCGUGUCUUGGUGCUGGCUGCUGUCUUUGGCCAGGCAUACAAAAUGUGCCUACCAGGAC
rnacentral:lncRNA from 1 species